UACAGAGGUCUCAAGCGUUGUUCGGAUUUAUUGGGCGUAAAGGGUGCGUAGGCGGCAGGGAUAGUUGGAUGUGAAACGCUGCGGCUCAACCGCGGCACUGCAUUCAAUACUGCCUUGCUAGAGCGCUAGCGAGGAGACCGGAAUUUACGGUGUAGCAGUGAAAUGCGUAGAUAUCGUAAGGAACACCAGUGGCGAAGGCGGGUCUCUAGAUAGCAUGCUGACGCUGAGGCACGAAAGCCAGGGGAGCAAACGGG
rnacentral:rRNA from 1 species